AAGGAAUUAGUUAAAUUACCUUCAUAACUCUUGCUUGUCAUGCAAAAAUUAUCCUAUAGAUAUUCCUUA
rnacentral:tRNA from 1 species